rnacentral:rRNA from 1 species
GACAGAGGAGCCAAGCGUUGUCCGGACUGACUGGGCGUAAAGCGCCCGCAGGCGGCCGUGCACGUGGGGUGUGAAAGCGCUCGGCUUAACUGAGCGAGGCCAUCCCAUACGGCGCGGCUCGAGCCGUCCAGAGGCCGGUGGAAUUGCCGGUGUAGUGGUGAAAUGCGUAGAUAUCGGGAGGAACACCAGUGGCGCAAGCGGCUGACUGGCCGAGACCUGACGCUGAGACGCGACGGCGUGGGGAGCAAACCGG